GACUACUCGUCUCCUCAGCCUCCUCCUUCUCGCAUCCAGCAUGCGCGGUGAGCCUGUGGGCGGUAAUCAAAACUGAUUCCAACCAAACACAAGAAAGCCCGCGCAAAUGCGCGGGCUUUUUU
rnacentral:sRNA from 2 species